rnacentral:tRNA from 1 species
GGCAGGGUAGCUCAGCUGGUUAGAGCGUGGCCUUCAUAAGGCUGAGGUCGUGGGUUCGAGUCCCACUCCUGCUA